rnacentral:rRNA from 1 species
AACUUUCAACAACGGAUCUCUUGGUUCUGGCAUCGAUGAAGAACGCAGCGAAAUGCGAUAAGUAAUGUGAAUUGCAGAAAGAAUUCAGUGAAUCAUCGAAUCUUUGAACGCACAUUGCGCCCCCUGGUAUUCCGGGGGGCAUGCCUGUUCGAGCGUCAUU